UUAUCGGAGAGUUUGAUCCUGGCUCAGGACGAACGCUGGCGGCGUGCCUAAUACAUGCAAGUCGAGCGGAUCGAUGGGAGCUUGCUCCCUGAGAUCAGCGGCGGACGGGUGAGUAACACGUGGGUAACCUGCCUGUAAGACUGGGAUAACUCCGGGAAACCGGGGCUAAUACCGGAUAACU
rnacentral:ncRNA from 1 species